rnacentral:rRNA from 1 species
UACGAGGGGGGCAAGCGUUGUUCGGAAUUAUUGGGCGUAAAGGGUGCGUAGGCGGUGCGGUAAGUCUGUUGUGAAAUCUCCGGGCUCAACUCGGAGUCUGCAUCAGAAACUGCCGUGCUGGAGUGUGGGAGAGGUGAGUGGAAUUCCCGGUGUAGCGGUGAAAUGCGUAGAGAUCGGGGAGGAACACCUGCGGCGAAAGCGGCUCACUGGACCAUAACUGACGCUGAUGCACGAAAGCUAGGGGAGCAAACAGG